GGAGGUUCUCAGGUGAUGCACCCCGGAAUCGGGCUCCCUCCUCUCUGGUUCUGGGUGUGUCACCCAAGAACCGCA
rfam:Myotis lucifugus cont2.1299, whole genome shotgun sequence.